ACCAACGUGAAGGCGCUCCAAAAUCAAUUGUGCUCUUCAUAUUGCCUACGUUUUACAUAUUUUACUCGACCACUGUCACUGUCCAUCAUACAACAUACAACUUUCAUGUUCUGCCAUUGCUUAUCGACAACUGCGAGAUACAAAAGGCAAUUGGUUGCUUUCAGUUCGAGGGUGUCUUGGUAGUGAAACAUGAUGCUUGAAGAGUUGCCAUCACAUGGUGGAAAUUUCCACUGUGUCCCUCGGUUGUUAAAUGGGAAGGGUCUCCCUUACUUGUGUUCACUACGCUUACUUGUCCUGCACCUCUGAAGCCCCGAACAUUUACAAUUUAGGUGCCGGAGAGCUGUGACUGCACCAAGGGUAACGUGUGUGUUGUCUCUUCGUGUGCAGGUAUGUCUUUUAUUUUGUCAGAAUUAUGUUCUGUAUAGUUUUACUUGUAUAUGCUGUUGUGCAGCGAGUGUGUGCACGCAGCACCUGUUAAUUCCUUUUGGCGCUCUUUUGCCUGACCCUCGGCUAGCAAGGUGCCGGAGAGCUGUGACUGCACCAAGGGUAACUUGUGUGUUGUCUCUUCGUGUGCAGGGCAAAUAAAAAGAUUUCAAUGAGCAGACCAUCAGUUGUGGCAGCGUCCUAAUUAAGAAUUACACAACGCAGAACGAACCACGCUACAAACUGGUGCCGCGACCUGCCGACUGGUUAGCUCAAGCUGACCACCGGAGCUGUGCAUGUGGAGGAGAUGCGCGACCCGCGCAUGCGCACUUGUUGAUGGUUUGCUAUAAGUGAAUGUAUACUGUAAAUAGUGAAGGUGAAUGUAGCAUAUUCACUAGAAAAUUGUAUUGGCGUUUAUUUGCAUGUUUUGAGGGAAUUUGUUUAUUGCAUUUUUUUUGUAUUUGUAUGCAGUAAAUUACAUUGUAGUUUAGUUCUCUAUUGAGCCAUGGAAGACUCUCAAGUCCAUAAGAUGAGUUAUGCUGGGGAUUUUGGUGUGGUUAGUGUGGGUAGAGGGAGGGGUGUCCAUGCAUUUACACCAUUUGUACAGUCAGCUCCUGGGAGUAGAGUGGUUGCUAGUCCUGAGUUUACUAGCACUGGGAGGAGUAGGCUGUUUACUCCACCUGACCAGGGUAUCCCACCUCUGUCUCUUGAUGUACCAUCGUCCCCAGUCCUCAGUAAUAAUGGGACACCGAGUCAGCUGAGUGACCUUAUUAAGCAGAUUGGCUCAGAGAUAGGAGAAUCAAUCAGAGCGAGUUUACUGCAGCCUGGGGCUUCAAGUCUUUCUCCUGCCCAUUCCCCUGACCAAUCCCAGCAGUUUCCCCUGCCUGAACAAUGUGGGUCAACUUUUAUUGAUGCGUCCAAGCUGAAUCUGGUUGUGAAGUCAGAGGUUAGUGCUCCACCUUUCUUCAGGGGUGAUGGCUCAGAUGAGUACUCUGUCCUGGAGUGGGAGGAGCUAAUGGGAGUCUACCUAGAGAAGAGGGGUUACACUGGGUCUGAGAAUGUUGGGGAGGUGAUGUCUAGGCUCAUGGGGAGGGCACGGGAUGUGACCAAAGUCUGGAUGCGUAACAACCCUGUUGUCACAGAUGUUAAGGCAGUGUUCAGUGUUCUCAAGCAACACUUUGGGGAUACUGUCUACUCAGGUAUGCCAUUAGCUGAUUUCUAUUCAAUGAAACCAUAUGCUAAUGAGGGUCCACUAGAUUUCUGGAUUAGGCUUAACAAAGCUGCAGACGCAGCUGAACAGUAUCUUGUAGGUGAGGGUAGAACUUUGCCCAAUCAGCGCUCAGAGUUGGCAGUCAUGUUUGUACGCAACUGUCCUGAUAAAGAGUUGGUCCAAGUGUUCAAAUGCAAACCCCUGCGUGACUGGACAGCCAGUGAGGUACAGGAUCGUUUGGAUGAACUGUUAAGGGAGCGUAAAGCAUGUAGAACACAACUUUCACAGCAGGUGGCUGCUGUCUUCGACUCCCCCCAGGAGGAAGUGGAUCCUGAGAGCAGACCUAAUGUGUCAUCUUUUUCUCGAUGUGGCCGUGAACCAGAACAGGCCCAAUCUGUAUCUGAGGGUGGGACAUUAGAGAAAGUUUUGAGUAUGCUAGAGAAGGCUCUUGCAAUACUCAGUCUGUGAACAGAGGGCCCCGUAAACAGUUCCCCAAACGUGAGCGUGAGUGCGCUGUCUGUGGAAGAACUAAUCACUGGACUAAAGCUCACUGUCAGAUGCACCAGCUGUGUUUCAAGUGCUUCUCUCCUGGCCACAUGAGCUUUGACUGUAGUGAGACUGGGAAGCGAAAGAGCCCUGGAUGUGGACAGACUGGCAGGUCUGGAAAACUAGAAAGCCUACAUUUUGAGGAUGGCAAUGUGGGGCAGGCUAAUUUUUCCUCCAAUGAUGAUGAUGAUAUCCAAUCUGUUUAUUCUUAUUUUUGUGAGUCAGUACCCAAGAACAACACAGUAAUUUUUCAGAACACAAUGAGAAUUUCUCAGAAUGACAGUUUGUUUUACACCACCGUGCUAGUACAGGAUAAAGUUGAGCUGAAGGGGAUGUUAGAUAGUGGGUCCAUGGCUACUACUCUGCGCGCAGAUAUUGUACCUCGGUUGAGGGAGGCAGGAGUGGUAGAGGGGAACUUUCUAGCUCCUUCAGACAUCAUACUGGUGGGUUGUGGUGGGACGCAAACUAGCCCAGUGGGCAUGUGUGACUUGAAACUACAGCUUUAUGGCUUCAGUUAUGUAGUCCCAGUGCUUAUUGUAGAUGGGCAGGUUGAUGAACUCAUUGUUGGCACUAACGUGUUGAAGUCUCUGAUUAGACAGUUCAAAUCAAAUGACAGCUACUGGCGGGUGGUGGGUACGCCAGGUCUUUCUGGCCAGUGUGAGGACAGCCAGUUCCUGCGUCUCCUAUCAAAUCUGGAGAGAUGGAGAGGAGACUCCAUCCCAGAUAAAGUGGGCACCAUUAAGUUGAAGAGGGCAGUAACGCUCCAACCCAUGAGUGAGCAUCUGGUGUGGGGCCGCUUACCCCCAAAGACAAAACUCUCUGUGGGCAGUACUGUUGUUGUCGAGCCCAGCACGUCUCGUUGUGUGAAUCGACACAUACUAGUAGGGAGAGUAGUUACGCCUCUGUGGGGGGAUGGAUGGCUCCCUGUGAAGAUUGUGAAUCCAACAACUUCGCCAGUUACCCUGAGACGAAAUGCUAAAGUGGCAGAUGUGUACCCUUGUAUUGCAUUGGAGGAUUUUGAUGAUGUCAAGCAGCAAGCUGCUUACCAAAACGUGGCAAAAGUACAAUGUGACAGCUCACAUGGCAGUCUUACAGCUAAGAGUUCAGUUGGUGGCAGUGUAGUUAAUGACAACAGUACACUGAGCAAUCUUGGACUUCAAGGCCUGUCUGUUGAGGAGUGUCCAGUUUCACAGUUCUGGAAAGACAAACUUGUCGGUUUAAUUGAGAAGUAUGACACGGUGUUCUCUAGACAUAGCCUGGAUUGUGGAGAGGCAAAAGAGUUCUGCCAUCGCAUACGGCUGACUGACGACCGCCCAUUUCGAUUACCUUAUCGUAGGCUUUCUCCAGCUCAUUACCAAAAACUCAGGGAAACACUGGAUGAUAUGGAGGAAAAGGAAAUCAUCAGAAAAUCCAGCAGCGAGUAUGCCUCACCAUUGGUGCUGGUAUGGAAAAAGAAUGGGGACUUGCGUCUAUGUACUGACUUUAGGUGGUUAAACGCCUGCACAGUGAAGGAUGCUCACCCCCUGCCUCAUCAGGCUGAUGUACUGGCGGCGCUGGGAGGUAAUGCCUUCUUCAGCACAAUGGACUUGACAUCAGGGUACUACAAUGUGCCACUGCAUGAAGAGGAUAAGAAAUACACUGCCUUUUCCUCUCCUUUAGGUCUGCACGAGUACAAUCGUUUGCCUCAGGGCCUUUGCAACAGCCCAGCUACUUUUAUGAGAAUGAUGCUGACCAUCUUUGGGGACCAAAACUUUCUAAGUCUCCUUUGCUAUUUGGAUGAUCUGAUGGUUUUUGCUAAGACGGAGGAAGAGAGUCUGCAGAGACUUGAGAUGGUUUUCCAGCGGUUGCAGGAGCACAAUCUUAAACUGUCUCCGUCUAAGUGCAAGUUUUUGAGGAGGUCUGUUAAGUUUUUGGGCCACAUCAUUUCUCAGGAGGGCGUAGCCACUGAUCCUGCUAAGGUUCAAACCAUUUUGAAUGUGACUGAGAGUGAGAUGAUGGAAGCUGAUGGUGUCACUCCGUCUCCUAGCAAAAUCCGUUCUUUCCUUGGUAUGGUAGUAUACUAUCAACACUACAUUGAGAAUUGUUCCAUGGUUGCUAGGCCAUUGUUUCAGCUGACUACAGGUCAGAAGAAGCCUAGGAGAGGCAAGGGCAGAAAGAGGCCUGGUCCCUCUCGCAGGCUCACUGCUGCAGACUGGACUGCCGAGUGUCAACUCGCUUUUGAAGCUUUGAAAGCAGCACUAGUUGACCAGGCACUGCUGGCUCAUCCAGAUUUUUCUCAGCCAUUUUUGCUUUCUGUUGAUGCAUCUACUAGUGGUUUGGGAGCUGUACUAUCCCAAGUGCAAGAUGGGAAGGCCAUAGCCAGGCCAAUAGCUUUUGCUAGUAAAUCUCUUAAUCAUGCACAAUCCAAGUAUCCUGCUCACCGGCUGGAAUUUCUAGCCAUGAAAUGGGCCAUUCAUGAUAAGUUCAGCCAUUGGCUGCGAGGGCAUAAGUUUACGGUGUGGACCGACAACAAUCCACUCAAAUAUAUUCUUACAAAGCCGAGACUUGAUGCAUGUGAGCAGAGAUGGGUUGCAAAGCUGGCACCUUUUGAUUUUGAUAUCCAGUACAUACCAGGGCCCAAGAAUGUCGUUGCUGAUGCUUUGAGCAGAGAGCCAUUUGUCCGCUCCAAAGUUCUGCACCGACUGACAGGAAUUCCAUAUGAUGUCCUGCUGGAGGAAGCCAGAGGUCUUCGACUGGAGGAUGUACAAGACAUGUUCCGUCUCUCCUGUGAGCAGCCCGAGGCUGGCUGUGGAACGUCUAUGGCUCCUGGGAGUGAGUUGAGUAGAGCUGGAGACGAUGUCAGUGGGUUGGUUUCCUGUGAAGAGGUGUCUGCUGUCCUCCAAGCCCAUCGCCGAUGGGAUGAUGGUGCCACAGUGAGGGCCGCUUCACAUGUGCAGCAUCUUGAGAAGUUGAUGUCCAUGGGUCAGAGCCCUUUACCUGUCCUUACACACAAGGAGCUGUAUGAUAACCAGUCACUGGAUCCUAUCAUCAGCAGAGAUUUCUUUGUAGAUAGAGGCCGGCGCCCAUCUAGGAGAGAGCGAGUCUUUGAAGCUAAAGAAACAGUUUAUACUCUAAGACAGUGGGGGAAACUCACCACGCGGUUAGGGAUUCUGUAUCGUGUUUCAAAACACCCAGUGAGUAAGAAGAAAAUAUUCCAGUAUGUCGUACCUGUGUCUUUGAGAGGCCUUGUGUUGAAGGGAGUUCAUGAUGAUGCUGGUCAUAAGGGUCAGCAGCGCACAUUGUGGCUCACGAGACAGCGGUUUUACUGGGAAUCUAUGGAGAAGGAUGUCAAGGAAUACGUGGCCCACUGUAAGAGAUGUGUGUUGAGUAAAGCACCUGAGCCUGAAGCAAGAGCUCCACUUGUCUCCAUUGUGACAACGGCACCUUUAGAACUUGUGUGUAUUGAUUUCUGGACUGCCGAAGAUUCAAACAACAAGUCUAUUGAUGUGUUAGUAGUGACUGAUCACUUUACUAAGCUGGCCUGUGCGUAUCCAUGUCCAAACCAGUCUGCUAAGACUGUUGCUCGUGUUCUCUGGAAUAAUUUCUUCUGCAUUUAUGGGUUCGCUGAUUGCAUCCAUUCUGACAGGGGUGCUAACUUUGAGAGUUUACUUAUUGCAGAAUUACUUCAGUUAUCUGGUGUUGAAAAGUCCCACACCACACCUUAUCAUCCCAUGGGUAACGGUCAAGCAGAACGUCUGAAUCGCACACUGGGUGGGAUGAUUAGAGCUCUGCAAGCUAGGUCUAAUGCUAAAUGGCCUCAGAUGUUGAACACAUUGACAUUCUCCUAUAACUGCACUGUUCAUGAGACUACUGGGUUUCCACCCUUCUUCUUGAUGUUCGGACGCACCCCUAGGUUGCCGGUAGAUGUUAUGUUUGAAAGUGUGCUGCUGGAUGGGGACAUAGUAGAUGUGGAUAAGUAUGUCCAGUCUCUGGGUGAGGAUCUGAGAGAGGCCAUGACAUUGGCCCAGCAGCAUGCCAGUAAGCAACAAAAGAGACAAGCUGAGGUCUACAACAGACGGUCUAAGGGUCACUCGGUGCAGAAGGGAGAUAGAGUUCUACUUGCUAACAAGGGGGAGAGGGGCAAGAAGAAACUGGCUGAUCGCUGGGAGAGUGUGGUGUACAUAGUGGUUGCAAAGAACAGCUCACUGAACACAUAUCGUAUCCAACACCCUACCACUGGACGCAUCAAAACUGUGCAUAGGAACCUGAUUAUGCCAGUCAACUUUCUGCCUUUACCUUCGUGGGAGGAACCUGAGGGUCACGGAUCUCUAUCGAGUGGUGACGUGAUCUCUGAGAUGUCUGCAAUGUCCAGCCAAAUGGAUGGGAGUGACGCCAGGACUGUCCACUGGGUAGCAGGCCUUUCUGAGUCUUCUGGGAGGAUACUCCAAGAGGAUGGUGAAGUCCCGGCUGUUGGAAGUGAGGUGGAACAACCGUAUGAAGUCCCCUUAAGUGAGGUGUGCUCAGCAGUAGUGGACCAGAGAGAUAUCCCCGAAGCCUACAAGAGUUCUGAUUGCGAAACUCCAUUCAGUGUGGAUGAUGUUACCUUGGUUGAAGAUGCUUCGUCAGUGUGGUCUGUGACAAUCUACCAGGAUUCUGAUCAGUCGUCUGACACUACUAGUGUUGAGUCGGUAACUGAAAGUGUGCUGGCUCCGGAGAUGCGGAUCUGUAGUACUCCCCAUCCUGAGGUUAGACCUCUGAGCAGGGUUUAGUGCUGUCUGUGACAUUCCUGCUAGGUUUGUGGGUGAGGGUGUUCGGACUAGACUGGGUAGACUUAUUAAGCCAGUGGAUAGGCUAAUCCAAACUAUGUCUACACAGGAAAUGAAACAGUUCUUGGUUUCUCAGUGACGGUAGGAUAUUGCCUACCUUUUCUUUUGUAGGAAUGUAGGAAUCUAAGCAUGUCUUAGAAGGAUUUGUGGAUUUGUCUAAUAUAUUUGACAAUUCAUGUAACUUUGUCUGUAGUCCAUCGGCAUAAAAUGUAUAUGGCAUUUUUCGUAUACGGUUGAAUAAGGGAUUAGCUACCCCUUAUUUUUCCUAAUCCUUCGCGGGAUAGCUUUUCAGCUGAUCGACCAUUUGUGGGUCUAGAAUUAAGGGACUACACUGGGUUACUCUGUCGCCCUGUGGGUGUGAAUUUUUUUUCUUUCUUUGCUUUGUUACCUUUGAGGUAAUGUGUUUUGUUUUGGGCCUAUAAUCUAGUGUAAAACAGUGGGGGUGAAUGUAGCAGUGUGAUGUUGUUCCCCUAGAUUACGCACCAAAUUGCACACAAGGACCAAUUCAAAUAGGCCAGGUCAAGAGGGGAUGUUAAUAAUCUGAUAAUAAUAAUAAUAAUUCAGUGUAUUUUUUUAUUUAAUUACAGCUGCAUAGCUAAUGUUUUUAUUUGGUGUACAAACACUUUUUCAUACCAAUAUUGUACAUACAAGUGAUUGUAAAAGUUUUGUAUAUUUUGGUUUGGCCCAUCGCGGGUUAUCUGUAUCCCCAUACCACUUUAUCGUUCUCUUUUGCCUGACCCUCGGCUAGCAAGGUAUGUUGUCCUUGGCUCCGAAACUGUUUAAUAUAAAACCGUCAUAAGGUUAUACAAUGUACUGUUUUGCAACCAUACGUUUGUUAUAGUGUGGACAGUGUAGGAAUUUAUGUUAACAAGUUUCACAGAGCUCACUGACUGGGGUAUCUGUUGUAACUUCUAAGUACUUGUGACAGUGGUUGAGUGAGUGUACAUGUGCUCGCGCAGGUGCCGGAGAGCUGUGACUGCACCAAGGGUAACGUGUGUGUUGUCUCUUCGUGUGCAGGUAUGUCUUUUAUUUUGUCAGAAUUAUGUUCUGUAUAGUUUUACUUGUAUAUGCUGUUGUGCAGCGAGUGUGUGCACGCAGCACCUGUUAAUUCCUUUUGGCGCUUUUUUGCCUGACCCUCGGCUAGCAAGGUGCCGGAGAGCUGUGACUGCACCAAGGGUAACGUGUGUGUUGUCUCUUCGUGUGCAGGGCAAAUAAAAAGAUUUCAACGAGCAGACCAUCAGUUGUGGCAGCGUCCUAAUUAAGAAUUACACAACGCAGAACGAACCACGCUACACUGACCACACCAAUACAUAUCACCGCACUCUUCACAAGAUCGUCAAGAGUAUGUACAGUCAUUAUUUUUUUACAAAAGUAUGUACAGCAUGAGAAAUGCCUAUAUUGAUGCUAAGGCUUGAGCAAAGAAGUAUGUACAACAAGAUCACUGAGUCGUACGUAUGUACAUAGUCGCAUGGAGAACAUGUGUAUUUGAUACCAUUCCACUUAUUCUGCUCCAGCCAUUAACAUGAGCCCAUCCUCCCCAAUUAAGGUGCAACCUACCUCCUAUGAUUAGUACAGUACAUGCUUGUGACUGUAACUCAUACCGUACCUUUGUACAUUGAUGGCCUCUAUUUUCUUUGACGAAGCCCAACUCCAAUUCUGAAGUACAAUGGCUCAGACACACAGAUAGGAUUGUCAAACGUUUGCCUGCCGCCAGUACUUAGCACCUCUCAACAGUGUUGGCUGCCAAUCUCUUCUGUGUUCAGACAGCAAAGACCUUGAAGUCGUCAGCCACUCAGCCUUGUUUAAAUACACCAUACCAGAAGGUGGCAGUAGAGUUGUUUGGCAAUGCAUGUCUGUGUGUGUUGCUUUGUCUAGUCAAUGUUAGCGAGCUAGAUGCGCUAAUGUUACUAUGGUUGUAAAAAGCCCUUGUUGAUACUAGCCAGAUGGCCACAGCUAGCUAGCAAGAUUACUUUUUUUUUUUAUGUACUCUCCAUAAUCGCAUACAGCCCAUAUAUACAGUUUUAGCUAGCUGGCUAACGUUAGCUAAAUGGUUAGCAUGAUUCGCUAGCUAGGUAAAGUAAAGAUACUGCAUUGACUCUCAACAGCUACAGGCACCUGCUACAUGGAAACAAAUCCCUUGUGAUUUAAUUAUAAUGUUACUAGCUACAGUGGCUUGGUAGCAUGCUUGGUUAGUGUUGUGUGUAUUGUGCUGCACUUACCACCCCAUUUGUUUCAUAUGAAGUGUGUGUGAUUGGCCUUGCUCACUUAGCAAGCUAACGUUAGCCAGCUAGCUAGCUAACUAAUAAGAUAGUACACAUUAUCAAACCUACCAAAAAAGCACAAAACUCCUUACCUAGACGUAAAAUAUGUAAACACUUGCUAUAGAUUUUCAAUUUUUAUGUAGCUUUAUUGUUUUAGGUAGAACAAUUCUGAUAAAAAAAAGAGUGGAUUAGCUCUCCUUUUUUCCCUUAUUGUCACUCCUUUCGGCUUCACCACGUGGAGGUUUGUGCUCUCUGAUUGGCUCAAAGUCAAGUUUUUGUCCACUGCCGACCAUUGCGAUUCUACAAAUACACAGAAGGUACGCCUUUUUCUAGCAAGAGAAGGAUUGGCCUCCUACUUUGAUAAGUACCUAUCGGCAGUCAGAUUCUCGUGUGUUUCAUGCUUAGCAGAUUUCACUGAGAGAUUGAACUUGAACAAUAUUGAUACUUUCACAUGGGUUGCCAAGAUCUUUUAGACUAAACCAGAUGUUCUCGUGAACAGUUUGCCUUGUGCACUUCUACAGCACUGUAUUGGUUUGAUAGAUUCAGGAGUAAGUGUUGCAUGAAGUGGUAAAAGCAUGGCAGUCAUGUCACAGCUAGUGUAGAGAUGUGAUGUUCUGAGGAAUGGCUUAUAUUUAGCUCUGUUGCUAUGUGGACUUUGGCCUGAUGGGAGUCUCUCAGCCUCUAUCAGAUAAUUUCUCCAGCCCAGUUAUGCUCUAAAUCAAAUCCCAUAGAUGAAUCCAACCCUGUGUUCUUAAGGAUAACCUGUGUUCUCAGUGCUAACCUGUGUUCUCAAUGCUAACUUGUGUUCUUGAGGCAAUCUUGCUCUCUCAAUGCUAACUUGUGUUCUUUGGUCUAACUUGUGCUUAAUGCUAACAUGGGUUCUUUAAGAUAGCUUGUGCUCUCAAUGCUAACUUGGUUCUUAACAAAUGUACUAUUUGGCUGUAGUCAAUAUGUAUGGAGAUCCUCGUGGAAAUAUUUGCAUGUUUUGGAGCUUACCCUCAACCCACAUGUUCAUCUCCAUAGACGCCAGCUCACAUGCUCUGACCUGUGGGAAUGCUAGAGAACACACCUACUUGUUAGAUGAUAUUGGCAAAGGCCUAACCAAACACCUUUCAAGUUUUGGGAUGGAUACCUUUGGGUAUUUACUGAUACCAGACAGGUGAAUAGCAGCAGUGUAAUGAAGCAACCUUUGCUAUGUCAAUAGCUAAAUGCUGGAUUUGCACAUUUCAGUUCCCGACAUUCAGAAACCAUUCUCGCGAGUUGAAUGGAGAGAAGGGACACCUAAAUUCAACAUUGGGUUUAAAACUGAUCAGUGGCUGACAUUCAAAGCUUUUCUAGUUGUACAGAUGGAUAAAAGGACUCACACAGCCAACAAUAGUAACGAGCUAGUGUAGAUAAGCAGUGGAUCGGAUGCAUCUCCAUGUAGGCUACACGAGUCAACCCCAUCUUGAACUGGGCUCCCAUAACACCCAAGGCAUUUAUGGUGGAGCUGAAAUUGUGGCAGGGAGCCUCGGAGAGUGGACAUGUAGAAUGUGUCACAUCUGUGAGAGAGAAAGAGAGGCACAUGCCACUCAUAAUUAACUUGCAUGUGCAGACAACAUCUAAAUAGUUGAUUUGUGGGUAUCAACUUGACUGACAGGGUGGUUAGGACACAUUAAUACCACCAACCUUGUGGGGAUAUUAAUGUAAUCCCCGGCCGAGUCAUACUGUAAAAAAGGGAACUGAUGCGUCUCUGCUUGGUGCUGCUUGCUAGAUUGGCCAUGCGAUAGACUAGCGUCCUGUCCAGGAGGUGUACUUGUACAUCAAAAUGUGCUUUGACUGGUUGUAACCCCUUCGACAAUGCCAUUAAAGAAUUUUCACGGAUGUAACUCCACUCUGUGAAUUUCAGAGUAGUCCCACAUGCAGGAGACCCUUGACUUUCUCCUAAACUACCCUGAGGUGUCAGCUGAUCACUGUAACCUGAGUCUUUUUUGACAUCAUGUUGUACCCGGACUAUUGGUAUUGAGCCCCCCUUUUUUUUACGCUGCCGCUACUCACUGUUUAUUAUCUAUGCAUAGUCACUUUACCCCUACCUACAUGUGUAUAUUACCUCAAUUACCUUGACUAACCUGUUCCGCCGCACAUUGACUCGGUACCGGUACCCCCUGUAUGUAGCCUCGUUAUUGUUAUUUAACUUUUUUUUUUUAAAUAACUCCUGUUUUUCUUAAAACUACAUUGUUGGCUAAGGGCUUAUAAGUAAGCAUUUCAUGGUAGGUCUACACUUGUUGUAUUUUUAACAAGUGUGUGGAAGGGCUGGUGUAUCUCUUGCACUGUAUUGAUUCCUUAUUGACCUUUCAGCAUUUGAGGGAUUAUCAGAAGGAGCAUUGUGUUAUAUCCUCUUUGCUUUUGAAUGCCAGUGUUACACACCUGAUAGAACACAGGCUAAUGGCUUCUAAUGGUUCACCAGACGUAAGCAUAGAGUUACAUAGCAAAGAUCAAAAUGUGUCUCUCAACACAUUCUAAAUUGUUAUGAUGUAAGGGCCCAGACAUUCUUCCAGCAAUGUUGAUGUUGGACGGAAAGAGAUGUUGGUUUGUUUGAUGCAACAAAAGCGGCACUUUCCAUUACCGUCCUGGUGAUAUGUCAUCUGGCCAAUCAUUCACCACCUACCGGAGCUAUUUGCAGCAUGUCACAUGGUGUCUGAGGUACCAACUUAUUUUGGUUGCCUUAAAAUUCCUGCUUUCUAUAAUUGGUUAGAGAGCUGUGGAGGCUGCUGGAAUGAGGCUAGUUGGACGACUGCGCUGGCAAGAGUCUGGUGACUGGAGUGCUGUGUACAGUUUGUGAGAGUGCAUGCGCCUUUCUUGGGAUAGGACCCUGUAUUCACCCUAUUAGAAAUGCCUGUAGUAUUGCUGUGACAUGGUGUUUCAGCUGUUCCAGUUACCUGCUGGUGCCAGUGGACUGGUUUGGUGUUUUUGUUUUGGAAGAUAAGAGAGGUCAGGAGGCCUCUUGACCUGUAAUUGACAACCGCUGUUAACCAGCUGCUGUUCACCCAACAUGUGGGUCUCCUGCUGCAGAAAUAACCCAACUAAUAGGCAUCUACAGGCCAGAUCCUACUCUGUCGACGUCAGAGACCCCUCGUAAAAAGUGAAUACGUUAGAGGGGGAGUAUUUGCCUCCAGUCCAGUGGGUUUUUGGGGGACCAUAGUUGAAGUACUUCCAGUAAUGCAGUUAAUGCAAGGAUCUGGCUCUUGGUCUUCACAGAGACACAGAGGGAGAGAGAGUUCAAAUUACUGUAAAAAAAAAUACGAUAGAAAGUUCAGCCCAUGUAGCUGAAACUUCUGAUAUACAGCAGGAAAACAUUGGCUCUUAUUUAUAGCCCGUUAUCCACAAUGCUAGGUACUGUAUAAUCCUCCAGGUAGAUGCUUGAGAUUUUCAGAAUCUGUUACUGAAUGAAUAUUGAUUUGAUUGAAGAUGGCCUCUUAUAUACAGAAGAGCCCAAUGCAAAGUGUUCCGUAAGUUCCUCAAUGUCAAUAAAUGUUUACUGGAACAAUAAUUACAGGAAGGUUUAAUUUAUAUCCACAUUUGAAAGGAGUGUUUGAAGAUGGGAAUGUCUUGACAUGGGGAAAUAGCUGGGGUAAGGAGCGCAACUGGUCAGAGGGCUAAGCUGUUGUUGUUUCCGUGGUCAGUCCAUGUGUGGUCGAGUAAAUAUGCAUCUUCUUUUUCUUUUUUUUUCUUAAAAAAAAAAAUGUAGCCCCUUUUCGUGGUAUCCAAUCGCUAGUAAUUACUAUCUUGUCUCAUCGCUACAACUCCCGUACGGGCUCGGGAGAGACGAAGGUCGAAAGCCACGCGUCCUCCGAAGCACAACCCAACCAAGCCGCACUGCUUCUUAACACAGCGCGCCUCCAACCCGGAAGCCAGCCGCACCAAUGUGUCGGAGGAAACACCAUGCACCUGGCCCCCUUGAUUAGCGCGCACUGCGCCCGGCCCGCCACAGGAGUCGCUGGAGCGCGAUGAGACAAGGAUAUCCCUACCGGCCAAACCCUCCCUAACCCAGAUGACACUAGGCCAAUUGUGCGUCGCCCCACGGACCUCCUGGUCGCGGCCGGCUGCGACAGAGCCUGGGCGCAAACCCAGAGACUCUGGUGGCGCAGCUAGCACUGCGAUGCAGUGCCCUAGACCACUGCGCCACCCGGGAGGCCAAAUAUGCAUCUUCUUGUGUGUGAGUGAUGUAAUAUGACAUGACAAAUGCCGUGAUAAAACAAUGUUUGGUUAGAAUGUUUCACUGGCUUCUAUAAUGUUCAGCUUUGCUUCAGCCAAUGUAGUAGUUAUUGUCUUAAUAACAUUGAUGUCACGGCUUUUUGUGUUGUAGUUUAGAAUUUGUGUUGUAAUGACUAAGCACGUCUCUGUUCGUUUGAGUAGUGGCUGGAGCAGGCUUGUUCCAGUCAGUCGCUUCUCCUGUGUGACCUGGGCUGGUCUAGAACCGCUAAUGAUUGGCUCAGAGACAUUAGACUGUUUGGUGUGAAACCCUUGCACUUCAGAAGUGUGACACCUUUUAAGGAAUGCUCCCAUAGCCAGAAGGAAGUCUGUGAAGAUCUGUGAAGAUUUCAGGCAUGGUCAGUAGGACUGUCACUAGAAUUAACCUUUUCAUUUAAUUCUCCCUGUAUUCAUUUCUCAUACCUUCUCUUUAAAACUUCACUCUGAUUGAAUUUCUGAGCUUCUUUUUAUACAUUGCACUCAACUCUGAAUAGGCUGGAUAUUUUCCAUGUAAUUUGCCACAGUGGUGAUGCAUUGCCCAUGGUAGCAUAGAAGAGUAUUUUUGUUUGUGUUUUCGGGCUAUUGGUGCUUAGUAGCAGAUCAUUUUCCGUGAAUGAUGGUUGAGGUAUAAAUGGAGUUGACAUGUCUUCCAGCUUUGGAUCGUCCUGACUGACUCAGUCUUUGAAUUGUUGAGAUAACUUACUUUCAAAAUUGGUUUGUUUUGUGUCUUAACUUCUAACUAAUUACAAAUACUACAUGUGAAUAUACGACAUGCUAUUUAGGUUAUUCUGUGGAGAGUUUAUAUCUGUAUGUGUGAGUGAUGUUAUGUGACUGUACUGCUCUGCUUCUGCAGAUGUCUUGUGUGGACCAGACAAUACUCUCUGCUGUAACAGGUGUGGACCAGACAAUACUCUCUGCUGUAACAGGUGUGGACUAGACAAUACUCUCUACUGUAAAAGGUGUGGACUAGACAACACUCUCUGCUGUAACAGGUGUGGACUAGACAAUACUCUCUACUGUAACAGGUGUGGACUAGACAACACUGUCUGCUGUAACAGGUGUAGACUAGACAACACUUUCAGUAAUAUUUAUUUUAUUUCAGAAAAUGUGGUGGGUUGUGGACUCAAAAGAAGCAUUUCAUGUGUCUGAUUUGAAGUUUCUCUGUGUGUGUGUGUGUGUGUGUGUGUGUGUGUGUGUGUGUGUGUGUGUGUGUGUGUGUGUGUGUGUGUGUGUGUGUGUGUGUGUGUGUGUGUACGUGUACGUGUGUAUGAGGGGGAUUACAAAAUUGGACUGUUAAGACCCCAUCCUUUAGCGGAGUGUGACCUUGCGCUCAGCGGCACACUCAGCUGUGGCCCCUGAUUGGCGGGCAGUGUCACAACCUCCCCAAUGGAUGCCAGUUGUCUCUGGCAGGCUCUGAAUGCUUAACGGUACGCUGAGUCAACCCAUGGUAGUAGGGGGUAGGGUUAGUGGGAAGGGAGGGGUGUGUGUUUGAGGGCAGGACAGGGUAGGACAGUGACCGCAGCAUGAGGACGGUACCAUUUGCACCCAGGGAUGACCACCCGGCGUGUGUGCUCGGCGGGCCAUCACAGAACAAACAUCAGUUGAUGCAACAACGCUCACUGUGCAAUCUUGGCCGAGCUUUCAGGAUGUCUGUGUGCUGUCCCUCUCUCUCUCUCUAACCCCUCCCUCUCUUCUACUGAUUAACUCCUCUCUCUGCCUUCCUCUCUCUUGCUCCUUUUUCAUUGACGUAGGGGAAAGGGGGGGAGGCGUUGUUGGCUUCAGGCUCCUGACGUGAUUGGCCAGGGUGGGUCCUUCCCCUGCUCUUUAAAAGCCUUCCUCUUACCUGGGUUACAAAAAAGCAGCAGCUCUUGCCUCUCCCGGCUGCUCACUAGCACUGUCCUCAUUCUCCCCCCCAAACAAGCCAAAAAAAACACUUCGGACCCCCUCUCUGUCAUCUCUGAAUGAGUAUUUGCCCUAUAGUGUAAGGCUGAGAUAAAGCAAGCCAACCUACCGAGUACAACUGCUCUGCUUUGGACCGUGACCCCUUCCCCAGCCCCGUACGACUAU